ACAGUUUAUCAGUCAAGCUGCGAUAUUUAUACAUAAAAAAAACAUGAGGAGGUUGUGAAAGUGUAUCGAACGAUAAAGUAGAACAAACGCCAUCCAGUUGCACAAACGGGAGUUUCUUCACCAGGUUUUGAUCGUAUGUUGCUGCCGUUUCGGGGUCACGUCUGGUCUUGUGACGUAAUGUAAAGUCAGACACGAGCUGCUCUGGUGUUGUCCCAGCAGGCAGGUGAGCUCCGCAUGACGAUGAUGCGGAUGGGCUUGUGGUUGGUGCCCGGUAUAGGAUCGGGAGCGUACUCUUUGCUCGGGUCUCUGCCUUGGCAGUCGUACAUCAUGCAGGAGAUGAGGAAGACGAGGAGUAGGAUCAUGUAGCUGGUGACGAGGAUGAUGAGAUUCAGGGUUACGGGGUCGAUCUCUACCUCAUCCAGCAUGAUGUUGGCUGGGAUGCAAGAUUUCACACACAUACACGACGCUUUUCUUCAACCUUUUUUUUUGCUAGCAUUUACCUGCACGUCUUGAAAGAACUGGAUUAUAAGUUAGAGCUCAAAUCUGUCUUCCUCUGUCUGUCUGUCUGUCUGUCUGUCUGUCUGUCUGUCUGUCUGUCUGUCUGUCUGUCUGUCUGUCUGUCUGUCUGUCUGUGUCUUAUGCAGUAUUUUCUGUUUUCUGUCUGUCUGUUCCACUCUUAUCAUUCAGUCUUAGCAUCUAAAUAUCUCAUACGUCCCUCUUUCUUACACUCCUCCUCUUGUCUCUCACUUGCACAUUGUACUCUCUCUCUCUCUAUCUCUCUCCGGCUCUGAGGUGAAAAUCCCUUAAUCCUCUGACCCUGACUUUGUUCAGCCAAUCAUCAAGCAGUGCCUAAGCCACCUCUUUAAUUUUUGCCUGAAAACACACACACACACACACACACACACACACACACACACACACACACACACACACACACACACACACACACACACA